rnacentral:rRNA from 1 species
CAGUAGCCGCGGUAAUACGGAGGGUGCGAGCGUUAAUCGGAAUUACUGGGCGUAAAGCGUACGCAGGCGGUUUGUUAAGUCAGAUGUGAAAUCCCCGAGCUUAACUCGGGAACUGCAUUUGAAACUGGCAGGCUAGAGUCUCGUAGAGGGGGGUAGAAUUCCAGGUGUAGCGGUGAAAUGCGUAGAGAUCUGGAGGAAUACCGGUGGCGAAGGCGACUCUCUGGUCUGUAACUGACGCUGAGGAGCGAAAGCGUGGGGAGCGAACAGGAUUAGAUACCCCGGUAGUCCCUGUCUCUUAUAC